ensembl:lncRNA
CUGAUGCUAAACUAGCUGCUAGCUGUUAGCAUCCAGCUAGCUUCCGUUCAAGUCAAUUCGUGUGCUGCUAGGCGUGGUGCUCCUCUCCUGGUCAUACGUGAUCUACGGCAGCAGGAUCGCAGCUCGUUGGCUGCUGGAGGAAAGAACGUCCGUGCUGAGGCAGGACUGACGGCUCUCCGUUGGGUUUUAAUGGAACUCUGAGCUCUUUGUGGUCGUCCUCUGAUGUAUUCGGUAACUAAAAGCUCUGCUGCUGCCGCUUUGUUCCAGGAGUCCUCAGAAAUGGAAAUGAAGUCGGUGAGUAGCAGAAACACUUCAAACAUCCUCAUCUGUAAUUAAAAACCAGCUCGCCAGGCUGCUGCUGUUUGUUCCUCAGCUGGAAAUAAAAACCUCUUUCAGUCCUGAGAGAUUAAAGAUGUUUGUUUCAAAUGAUCGUAGAAGAAAAAUAAUAUCGUGUUUAGAAGAUGGAAGGUUUAAAAAUGUGGAAAUGUGUCUAAAAUGUCACAAUUUGAGUUCAGGAACGUUUUUGUCCCUUUAGACAAAUUUAGCCUCAUUUUGGACCAUUUUUUGUGACACUAGACAAAUGGACAAAUUUUUGUCACGG